rnacentral:rRNA from 1 species
GAUGAACGCUAGCUGCAGGCUUAACACAUGCAAGUCGAGGGACCGGCGCACGGGUGAGUAACACGUAUCCAACCUGCCCGUCACUCGGGGAUAGCCUUUCGAAAGAAAGAUUAAUAACCGAUAUAAAGGAUGGGGAUGCGUUCCAUUAGGUUGUUGGUGAGGUAACGGCUCACCAAGCCUUCGAUGGAUAGGGGUGCUGAGAGGAAGCUCCCCCACAUUGGAACCGGGCCACGUACCAAACUCCGACGGGAGACUGCAGUAAGGAACAUAAGUCAAUGGGCGCUAGCCUGACCCAGCCAAGUAGCGGGAAGGAUGAAGGCUUAUUGGACCUAAACUUCUUUUAUAGAAGAAACGGUAUUAUAUGAAUAAGGAUCGGCUAACUCCGUGCCAGCAGCCGCGGUAAUUC